UUGCUCACUUCAGCAGCACAUAUACUAAAACUGGAACGAUACAGAGAAGAUUAGCAUGGCCCCUGGGCAAGGAUGACACGCAAAUUUGUGAAGCGUUCCAUAUUUUU
ensembl:snRNA U6 U6 spliceosomal RNA